UACAAAACCGAAAACAAUUUGAAAAAUUAGAUAAGCUUCUCACAGAAAGUUCAAUUGACAUAAAAUGGGCUGAUGCCCGUAAGGAAGCUGGUGCCUCGAAGCACAUGCGUGGUGUGAAAAGGUUGGCGGCAAUCGGUACAGAGGAGUACCUGGAUAAGCAUCCUAGUAAGGAUGACAGCUUUUCUAUGGAUUUAGAUUACUUUGAUUUUUAUUAAAUUGUCCCUCAGCUGGUCUUACUGCCCUCGGAUAGAUAUUUUUGUGAUAGAUUUAAUCGUAAAUUUUGAAAAAAAUUCAUUUUAUGAAACCUUUGCGAGCAUUCGAUCGACUCCUGGGAAUGCUGACAUAGUAUGUAUAUACAUACAUAUUUUCGGUGUUUGCCAAUGUGAAUUCGCCUUAAUGUUUUACAUACCAAUUUUUUCAUUCAUUCAUUUUAUUUAAAGGAUUUCUCGAUUUAAAGUAUAUUAAGUAUUCGAGUUUUUUGUCUUGUGAAUUUCGAUAUCCUUUAUCUUGUCCUGAAAGUAUUUUUUGUUUUGCUGUUUAUAUACAUUAUAAAAUGCGCUAAUUAUUAAUGAAUUAUUAAAAUUACCUAUUUUUAUUUGAAAUAAUUUCAUAUUUAAAACUACACAUUUUUAAUUGAAAGAAUUUAUUGUUUAAAACUUUUUUAGCUUUUCCUGUGAAUGUCAACCUAUUUCGAUUAUUUGUUGUUUUUGCAAAAAAUAACAGUAUUUUCCAUGAUUCAAUAGUUAAUUAAUUUAUUAUUAAAUCAUGAGUAUUUUGAACAUGUUAAAUAUAAUAGAAAUAUGAUGUAUUAUUCAUAGAGUAUUAAAAAUGGAAGUACAUACAUACAUAUUUGAAAAUAUUGAAAAAGAACAAUUUAUUCUUCCUGUAAAUUUUAAGCUAGGAUUAGAAUUGGAGGUUUUGGAAAUCCCGUCAAACUACUUUUAUAUUUUGAAAAGUGAACUGUUAAAAAAAGCGGGAUAAUGCUUAAUAAACAUAUCGCUCAAUUUA